CAAUAGCGUAUAUUAAAGUUGUUGCGGUUAAAAGCUCGUAGUUGGAUUUCUGCCGAGAAGGUUCGGUCUGCCCUUUGGGCAUGCAUCGAGUCCGUCUUGGCAUCCUCGUGGAAAACGUGUCUGCGCUUGAUUGCGUGGUGCGGGUUCACGACUUUUACUUUGAGGAAAUUAGAGUGUUCACGGCAGGCUUCCGCCUUGAAUAUAUUAGCAUGGAAUAAUAAUAUAGGAUCUUGGUUCUAUUUUGUUGGUUUCUAGAGCUAAGUUAAUGAUUAAUAGGGACAAUUGGGGGCAGUUCGUAUUAACGCGUCAGAGGUGGAAUUCUUGGAUUGCGUUACGACGAACUACUGCGAAAGCAUUUGCCAAGGAUGUUUUCAUUGAUCAAGAACGAAAGUAAGGGGAUCGAAGACGAUUAGAU
rnacentral:rRNA from 1 species